CAGCCGCCGCGGUAAUACGUAGGGUGCGAGCGUUUAUCGGAUUUACUGGGCGUAAAGCGUGCGCAGGCGGCCCGUUAAGACAGGUGUGAAAUCCCUGGGCUCAACCUAGGAAUUGCGCUUGUGACUGGCGGGCUCGAGUACGGUAGAGGGGGGUGGAAUUCCUGGUGUAGCAGUGAAAUGCGUAGAGAUCAGGAGGAACACCGAUGGCGAAGGCAGCCCCCUGGGCCUGUACUGACGCUCAUGCACGAAAACGUGGGGAGCAAACAGGAUUAGAUACCCGGGUAGUCCACGCCCUAAACGAUGGGUACUAGCCGUUUGGUGCGCGAUAGCGCUGAGUGGCGAAGCUAACGCGUGAAGUACCCCGCCUGGGGAGUACGGCCGCAAGGUUGAAACUUAAAGGAAUUGGCGGG
rnacentral:rRNA from 1 species